AUAGUGAAUUAUCGAAAAAAAAGUCAAAUUUCACGCCUUUCAAAGUGCGUGCUCUUGUUUCGUGUGGCCAUGGCUGCAUAUACGUCAUAUCUGUUGUACCUGCGGUGUGUGUUGUGUGGUAUUGUGUGUCGGUGUGAAUUUUGUGCUGCGUGUGGAAGUUACUGGUGGAAAGUGGGUGGAAGGGACAGUGUGUAAACUUUUAUUGUGUUGAAUUUAACCGCGGUGUGGCUGGUGUCGAUCCAUGUGCUGGUGUUCAUCAUCCCGGGUGUGCUGUACAUAGGCUGUUCCUCGCGCGCUAGGACGAUGCAGUUACAAAGCAGCAAAAUGCGGCGCUCAAUGAACGACGGUAGUGCGGUAAAAUCAUGCAUAGCCUGUUACGCGGUAAGGUGCUUUUUGAAGCGUUUGUUUUAGAUUUCUGCUCUGAUUUUAUAGUUAGUAACAAAGAUCAACCUAAAUCUGGAUUAUAUUAAUGGUGGUAAAUUUUGGAUCGUCAAAUACGGUUAGUGUGGAGUAGGACAUGUCCGUCGCGGAGUCGUAGGUUGGUCGUAGGUUCAAGUAUAGAGUGGAUCGAGCCCCGUCCGGCUGCAAUGACUGAUUUAUCCAGCUGCGUCGUAUUGAAUUAGUCUCAAACGUUGUAAUAGGCUGGCAUGAUGGAGCAGGUCAUUACACCAAAUCGAUAUAGUUUUAAAAAUAAAAUGCGAUAAAAACUAAUAUGGUUGAGAUAAAUUUGAAAAGAAACCCUGAUUUGUGGGGAUGAUUUGCUUUAUUUAAGUUGUAUUAUAGAGCGCAAUAUAUGUAUACGUUGAACUUAAGUUUAGUAAAGAAAAUAUAACUAUUAGUCAAAUAUAUUGGAAAUACGCUUAAUCUGUGUUCUUUGCGUGUAUAAUACUAACCGUAAAAUUAUAUUUUGUUAAA